CCCAAAGUGUCGGCGCAUAU
rnacentral:miRNA from 1 species